UACGUAGGUGGCAAGCGUUAUCCGGAAUUAUUGGGCGUAAAGAGUGCGUAGGUGGCAACUUAAGCGCAAGGUUUAAACUUGAGGCUCAACCUCAUUUUGCCUUGCGAACUGGGCUGCUUGAGUGCAGGAGGGGAAAGCGGAAUUCCUAGUGUAGCGGUGAAAUGCGUAGAGAUUAGGAAGAACACCAGAGGCGAAGGCGGCUUUCUGGACUGCAACUGACACUGAGGCUCGAAAGCAUGGGUAGCGAACAGG
rnacentral:rRNA from 1 species